UGGGGAAUAUUGGACAAUGGGGGCAACCCUGAUCCAGCCAUGCCGCGUGAGUGAUGACGGCCUUAGGGUUGUAAAGCUCUUUUCUCCGGGACGAUAAUGACGGUACCGGAGGAAUAAGCCCCGGCUAACUUCGUGCCAGCAGCCGCGGUAAUACGAAGGGGGCUAGCGUUGCUCGGAAUCACUGGGCGUAAAGGGCGCGUAGGCGGCUGACUUAGUCGAGGGUGAAAGCCCGUGGCUCAACCACGGAAUGGCCUUCGAUACUGGUUGGCUUGAGACCGGAAGAGGACAGCGGAACUGCGAGUGUAGAGGUGAAAUUCGUAGAUAUUCGCAAGAACACCAGUGGCGAAGGCGGCUGUCUGGUCCGGUUCUGACGCUGAGGCGCGAAAGCGUGGGGAGCAAACAGG
rnacentral:rRNA from 1 species